GUUUGACUAACUUCUUGAAAGCCGUUUGAACAAUACUCUCGAAGGAUCUAUGUUUGGGGGAUCUUUCAACGUGUUCACAAUCUUUGGCCAUACUGGGAUCUCUCGACCGAGAUCGGUGCAAUCGAACAAACAGGUUUUACCGGUAGCAAAGGAAACGUUCACCUUUCGAAGAACAAAUGUUAGAUUCGGCCGAACGAUGCUUCGGUUGAACAGAGUGCUCGGUACGGCGUACCAACAGUGAAAGUCCAGACGAAGUGUCAAUCGAAGGGGACCUUCGCACGCCAUGCUUUCGGUACACAUAGGUGGCCGAGUACAUACAGCCCCUCACAGGAGUGUAAUACACGUAUUAUGCAUGAGACUUAGCUACGCUAAAUUAUAUGGAUAUACCAUAUAUACAUAGUAUAGUCGGGCGCAGUGAUCAGGUAGUUCAGGUAGAUUUUUCAUUCUGCAGAAUGCGACAUCCGUGUACCGUGACGUUCCACUUGCUGCUCUCAGCUGCGCUUGGCUGGAGACGCCAAGCUCAGUUUAUAAACAAUGACUGGACUGUGUCGUAUAUUUUCCACCUUCCAAGCAGUUCAGAUCCGUUCUGCCCGAAUAUCUUUCUUGAUUGCGAAGGACGUGGAGCUGCAGGAAGGCACGGUGCCGUCGGACGCGAUGGAGGUCGAGGUCUCUCGAUGCAGAGAAUUGAAGAUCCAGUCGGGCGCAUUUACAGGGGGGGCGCAGCUCAAGAGGGUUCGCGUCUCGGGAAUUCAGAGUCUGGUGGCGAAGAAGCAGGCCUUCCAGAAUCUCACUGCGCCGAAUCCACUCCUCGAGGUCUCCGAGUGCAAAUCGGUCAUCAUCGAGAGUCACGCUUACAAGAAUGCACGUGGACCACUGAGCGUAUCGAUAGCGCGAUGCGUUCACGUCGCCAUAAAGCCGAAUGCAUUUUCCUGGCUACUCCGGAUAUCCCUAAAGGAAAUUGAGAAUCUUCAGCUCUCGAGCAACGCCUUCAAGUUCGAGGCUCCGCCACACGGACGUCAUGGACCAGCGACCAAGAUAUUGUUCCAAUCCGUUAUGAUUCCGGAGUUGCCGACAGCGGUCUUUCCGUCAAUGGCGGCGGAAGUGCGGAUGGAUGACUUCUCAACGAAGGUCAUCCGCAAGGAAGCAUUUUGCGCGAUAAUCAUCCUCAGCGUAGCCAUUAGCAACGCGACGAUUUACGAAGUGGAGGCCGGUGCUUUCAGUGAUCGGACCCUCAUUCACAGUCUCGAGUUUGUUGACGUCAGUCUGAAGAGGGUUGGCGGCGGGGCGCUUAGAGCUGCGGUCAACAAUCUGACUAUCCAAUACUCCAGAUUGACAGAAGUAGAGUCGGGGGCCAUUGACAUUGCAGCAGCGAGCGUGACCUUCAAUAACAACGAGUUUCAAAAGCUACGUACGAAUUCAAUUGUUCUUCACCAAUGGAAUCACCUUGCCAUAGAUUACAACCUCUUUGAGAAUAUAGAGGGGGAUGCCAUUACCGUUGAUGAGAACGCGACGGUUGCGCCAAAUUUCGAAUUUUCUUUUACGGGAAAUCGCAUCAACAAGGCCAUGCCGGGGUCACUAAAGUUUGCGGCGAUCUCGCUAAAGGUCAACUCCGCUCGGAUCGGCAAUAAUGUCUUCAACGAGAUGUGCAGCUGCAAUCUAGAGACUUGGACGCGCACGAUUGUCGGGACAAACGCCUCCUCGACUUCCUGGAUGAUGGAUUCGAGUUUCUGCAUCGUAGAUAGCUUUCUCGGGAGAUGCCACAACGUGCCCGAAGGCAAACUUACGAUGCGCAAUUACACGAGAUUAAUAUGCAACGAGGGACAUCAUAUAGAGUGCAAAGUGCCUUCGGCGAACCCGGGACCUAGCGUCAGUCCACCAAGCGUCGGGCCCCACGUCUAUCCGAGGCCCAAGGGCUACUUCGAUGUCGAGAUGAGCGAUCCUGAACAGCUGGAACGCGAGAAGAGGAUUAUUAUGAUAAUAUGCGUGCUUGCGGUAUUUUUCGUGGUUCUGGUUAUCCUCUUAUCAGGGAUCCUCUACAUGAGAAGACAAGGGGUCUGCCCGAAGCUGAGCUCGCGACCUGUCCUGAUCGGCAGGACAUGGGAAUCCUGGUUCUCGCCAAGCACGGGAGUAACUGCGGCAACGUCUGCGCGCUCGAUAUCUCGUUUGAGCGUCCACGAGUACGCCGGUUUACAGCCGGAAACGAGGAUUCUUGAGGUAGGAACGCACAGGGGGUUCAGUGCCGAGGAGGGAUACGCGUACACGGAGAAUAAGGCGACGCAGACUCUGCCCGAGGAGCUCACCGAAGAGUACCUCAGGGAGCUACGGGAGCGGCUGAACGAUCCGGAGAAUUACAGUCAGGCGCGCGACAUGAUCGAGCAUCUCUACGAUCUGAUUAAAGUCGAAGAGAGCUGCAACAACAACAACAACAACGAGGAUGAGCGGGUGUGCAACGUUGAGGAGGAGAACGCCUACGACGUGAUAAGGCCACGCGCGAGAGUCCGCGGACCGGCGAGGCCCUCGACCAGCGUCGGCACGAGGGUGCCCUCCCUGGAGAAGCUCCUGCCGAGCGCAGCGGCACAGAGGCCCCCCAUCGCCGAGUACACCGAGCCUCGUGACAAUCGUCUCACCGAUCAGAACAAUCAUCUCUAUGCGGAGCUUCCGGGGGACGAGACGGUCCCGAGCACCAGUAGACUCUCGUCGCAACCUGCCCUCGCGACUCGCGCGCCUCAGCCCCUGCCGCCGGACGUCCUCAAUAAUAUCAACGACAAUACCUGCAAUCAGAAAUCGGAGGCGCCCUCGAGGGUCCAGGCGAGACCCCUCAGCUUCCUCAAGGCUCUCGGCGAGAGUAUCCUCGGGAAUGGGAAAACACAAAGCGCCAGGAGGCCGAAUUCUCUGCUCUGCGAGUACGCCGACCCUUCGGAUGCCACGGCCCAUCUUUACUCGGAACUCCCUGAACCCCGGAGCUCCACUUCCGCCAGUAAAAUGGCCAAUCGACCGCUUCCAACGAAACCUGACCAGGAGUCAGCAGCAGCAACGGUGGCCGCGAUGGCAAAGGCGUAGUGACGGUCGACGUCCGACACUGCUUGACUGUGAUAUAAAUAUCGAGUUUCUCGAAAAAGACUAUCCCUUAAAGAAAACUUAUAGCGAGGUAGUGUCCCGCGAUAUUCCGAUCUUGCUGCACGUGCCUUAAAUCUUGGCGAGUGACUCGACGCAACAGUCCCAUGGGACUUUGGACCGUUGAAUGCGCAAGAGCUCUCGCUACGAAGGAAACGGAGGAGAAGACGCUCGUUUGCCAAAGUUUAUUGAAACACUGAGUAUCAAGUAUCUCGUCGAAUAAUUGUCUUCCACCGCAGAAGAGCAAGAGACGUAUGAGACGAGCAAGCAAACUGAUUGACGAUCGACUAACUCGUUUGUGUAGUUUCCGUGUCAUUUCGUCCAGCAGCUCUCGCGUUUCUACCUAAUUCUAAGUAAAUGUGUACAUACGACUGGACUGGGCUCUCUUCUCUUUAUUUUCAUAGACUAUUCGAUCGCCUCCGGUUGUCACUACGGCCGACGAGACACGAUCAUCGGCCCAAAUAUUCUUUAUACAAUGAACAGGAGCUUUACCAAUGUAAUAUAACUUUAUACACGCGCGCACGCAUGCGCAGUACGCACACACAGCAGUGCGCAUAUUUCUGUUACGUCAAGUAUUAAAGAUGAGAAAUCUCAAUUUAAUAGACACUACUAGUCUGCUCCUCCAGUCCGUUUUUCAUUUCGUUUCCCUUCCUUUCACUUAAACCUGCAUGAAAUUCAAAUGUUAGCUAAGAACUUAUUACUUUCUCCUAUUACUUUCUUUGUUGUUGUUUUUGAGAGAGAAUUCUUUCUGAGGACGAAAUCCUCCAUGCACUUGGGGGGCAACAGUGCAGGCGGACUGGGAUCAGGACGGCAACAGGAUACCGGGCACCCAGGAGGUGUAUUCCUGAACUCUGGCCACAGUCGGGGGAGAGGCAGCAUUGGCAACGCCAGCGGAACCAAGCUAUUCCGUGAAGAAUGCGUGAAGAGCAAAUAAAGGAAAGCAGCAGUGCGAUGGCGGUCUGCUUUGCAGCUGUUCAAGUUAGGCUAGAAGAGUACAGAGCAGAGGAGUGCAGAUGAGGGAGACGGAAGUCGUCGCACCAUCUCCGCGUCGCGAUCGACUUGAUGCCCAGUCGAGCCAAUAUCUACAUACAUACAUCUUACAUUUCGAAACGUUCCUAACGUUCAUAAUACGCUAUAUGGCGACUCGAAAGGUGCAGCUACGUGUCCCGCGAGAGCCUUUGUAUGCUUGCCGUGUAGCAAGGGCCAGGGAAAGAGACGAACUCACAAUUACUUGGUCGUAGUAAGCGUGCAACGUAUAAAUUGAGCCCGUAUAUACGUAUAUACAUAUACAUAUAAGUAUGUAUAUCCGGGUCAAUCGUUCCUAGAAGAUUGACAAAAUCAGUGGAUCUACAUACUAUUGUAUAAACAUGAAUAUUUAACUUCGCGAAUUAUAAGUAAGCUAAAACUAUGUGACAUGUAAACGUACAGAUCGAUAUCGACUUGGUGCGAAGCGAGAAGCCGAUCGCAGAAAUUCGAGGACGGGGAAUUAUGUGCAAGACGUGAUAAGAUAAGCGAGCGACUCGCAAGUUUCUGAUAGCUAGCAUACCGGAAGUCAAUGACAUCACGCACAUGGUAUGCUCUCACGUGCGAUCGCCCGACAAGUCUCUAUAGGCUGGGGCUAUCAUGUUUUAUCAGCUAACCAAUCAUCUCAUCACUUGGCUGGAACAGUGCCACCGUCAUCCGUCAUGGCUGCAUAGGGGAACCUCAAAUGUAGUUUGAGGGCUUGAUGAGUACGUGGACGAGAAGAAGGAGGAAGAAGAGAAGAGA